AUUGAACGCUGGCGGCAGGCCUAACACAUGCAAGUCGAACGAGUGGCGGACGGGUGAGUAACACGUGGGUAACCUCCCCAUCAGAGGGGGAUAACACUUGGAAACAGGUGCUAAUACCGCAUACUGCUGGAUGGCCCGCGGUGCAUUAGGUAGUUGGGGAGGUAACGGCUCACCAAGGCCACGAUGCAUAGCCGACCUGGGAGGGUGGUCGGCCACACUGGGACUGGGGAACGGGCCAGACUCCUACGGGAGGCAGCAGUAGGGAAUCUUCGGAAAUGGGGGGAACCCUGACCGAGCAAAGCCGCGUGAGUGAAGAAGGUUUUCGGAUCGUAAAGGUCUGUUGUUAAGGAAGCGGUACUUAACCAGAAAGGGACGGCUAACUACGUGCCAGCAGCCGCGGUAAUAC
rnacentral:rRNA from 1 species